rnacentral:rRNA from 1 species
GAUGAACGCUGGCGGCGUGCCUAAUACAUGCAAGUCGAGCGAACAGACGAGGAGCUUUCUCCUCUGACGUUAGCGGCGGACGGGUGAGUAACACGUGGAUAACCUACCUAUAAGACUGGGAUAACUUCGGGAAACCGGAGCUAAUACCGGAUAAUAUAUUGAACCGCAUGGUUCAAUAGUGAAAGACGGUUUUGCUGUCACUUAUAGAUGGAUCCGCGCCGCAUUAGCUAGUUGGUAAGGUAACGGCUUACCAAGGCAACGAUGCGUAGCCGACCUGAGAGGGUGAUCGGCCACACUGGAACUGAGACACGGUCCAGACUCCUAAGGGAGGCAGCAGUAGGGAAUAUUCGGCAAUGGGCGAAAGCCUGACGGAGCAACGCCGCGUGAGUGAUGAAGGUCUUCGGAUCGUAAAACUCUGUUAGUAGGGAAGAACAAAUGUGUAAGUAACUAUGCACGUCUUGACGGUACCUAAACAGAAAGCAACGGCUAACUACGUG